rnacentral:rRNA from 1 species
GUACCGUGAGGGAAAGAUGAAAAGAACUUUGAAAAGAGAGUUAAACAGUACGUGAAAUUGUUGAAAGGGAAACGAUUGAAGUCAGUCAUACCAACGGGAAAUCAACCUCUUGAGCUCGGUCUCGUGGGUUUUGAAGAGUUUCAAAGCCUUCGGAUUCGCGGGAUUGGGAUCUCCUGGCGUACUUUUUCGUACGGUUAGUCAACAUCGGUUUUGAAUGUCAUAAAAUGACUGGAGGAAUGUAGCUUCGAUCUCGUAUUGAAGUGUUAUAGCCUUUGGUAGAUGUGAUGUUUGAGACCGAGGAUUGCAACGGAUACCCUUCAGGGCUAUUCGUCUGAUCUCUGAUACGUUGCCUUGAUGUUGAAAGCUCGCUUAUGAUGUUAGGGUAUUACGGUCAAAAGGUUAGAACGAAUUACAUUCGUUAAGG